GCCUGGGUGGCUCAGUUGGUCGAGUGUCUGAUUCUUGAUUUUGGGCUCAGGUCAUGAUCCCAGAGUCAUGGGAUCAAGCCCCAUAUCAGGCU
rnacentral:tRNA from 1 species